GGUCAACCUGCUUUGCUAUAUAUAGUUCCGUCCACAUUAGGCACAUUUUUGAUGUUGUCAGCCAAAAGAGGUGAGCUGAAGCAUCUAUGGACAAGAGGAGAACCAUAUAGGAUUUGCCCGCAUAUCCAGCUUCAACCGGCCGAGUAAUUCGAUAUCGUACUCUCUCUGUAAUCACAUAUAGCUCUGAUUUGUCUACAUACAAAGUUAGGGUACAUAUGUUUAGAAAUCUGAAAGAGGUUAGAGUUCUCAAAGUCAUAGGUUAAACUUAGGCUUCUCCCCGACCCCGACUGCCCAAAUACAAUGGCUGUUAAUGACUGACUAGCACAAGGUGAAAAAUAGAGCAUGUAGUUUACCAGUUAUGCAGUUGACUAGAGUUGCAGCAA
rnacentral:misc_RNA from 1 species